GAUGAACGCUGGCGGCGUGCCUAAUACAUGCAAGUCGAGCGAACGGACCAGAAGCUUGCUUCUCUUUUGUUAGCGGCGGACGGGUGAGUAACACGUGGAUAACCUACCUAUUAGACUGGGAUAACUUCGGGAAACCGGAGCUAAUACCGGAUGAUACUUUGAAUCGCAUGGUUCAUAAGUGAAAGACGGCGCUGGCUUUCCCUACAGGUUGAUCCGCGCUGCAUUAGCUAGUUGGUAAGGUAACGGCUUACCAAGGCGACGAUGCGUAGCCGACCUGAGAGGGUGAUCGGCCACACUGGAACUGAGACACGGUCCAGACUCCUACGGGAGGCAGCAGUAGGGAAUCUUCCGCAAUGGGCGAAAGCCUGACGGAGCAACGCCGCGUGAGUGAUGAAGGCCUUCGGAUCGUAAAACUCUGUUAUUAGGGAAGAACAAAUGUGUAAGUAACUGUGCUCAUCGUGACGGUACCUAAUCAGAAAGCCACGGCUAACUACGUG
rnacentral:rRNA from 1 species